rnacentral:lncRNA from 1 species
GCGCUGGCCCCCGGUGCCCCCUGCUGGUCCCGUGCAGGCAACUCUUGAGGUCAUCAGUUAUGUGAUGGAGUGUAGAGUGUGGAGCAUGUUCGUGUGCAUAUUAAAGGGGCUGCAAUGCCCUAAGCUGAUUCGUUGAAGUGCGAGGAGGCAUGCCAGCAUACCGCUAUAGGGGGAAUGUUCAGCACUGACCAAGCAUAUCGUAGAGCUGCAGUGGAGAAUCCACGUGCUCAUGUAUUGUUACACUUAUACUUGCGCACACUAGAGAUUAGCAGGAGUAGCGGGCAAACAUCCCAGGAUAUGACACCUCGUCAUAGACUCCCUGAAGUCAACCAAUACGUGCUUCCAUACGAUGUAAAAUUUUCCUAUGUUCACGGAAAUAAGCUCUCUCUACGGGUCCAGUAAGCCAUUGGCGCAAAGGCCAAAUCUUGUGACCGGACGUUCCGGUUUAUCGCUGCGGCUCGCCAGUCAUGGCAAGAUACACGCCAUAAAUCGAGCCACCUGUCAAGAGGACCGCCUGGACCUUCACAGUAAGCUGCCGGAAGAAGUAGUUGUACCUGCAUCGGGCCGGGAGCAGGACACACAUCAGAAAACUGUAUACUAGCAGGCUCCUCUUGACAUGAGCAUCUCCCGCUCGACAACAAAGCAAAGAGACGACGUACUACGAAAGAUGAAAACAAAGCCAUCAUGACACGCCGCAGUCCUCCUUACUUGGGGUUAGUGAGGUCAUUCCACCUAUAGGACUCAGCCGCUGCUUUCUGCAAAUACAAAUGAGGAUGGAAAACAUUGAGUGCCGCGGCCCAAAGAGGCUGCAAAACUGACGUCUAACUCUCCGGGACCUCACCAGGAUGCGCGAAGGGAACAUUCUGACACAACCUCUAGCUACUCCUGAGAUGCAGCUGUAACGUACUGUCCUGAGGUGUUGCGGAAUGAAAGAAAUUAUGUUUUCCAAGUUAUUAUUGGAAAAGGCUGCCGUACAUAGGUUAAGCCUAUGCUUGCCGGUACAAUUAUCCAUUAAGUUACGUU